CGGUAAUACGGAGGAUGCAAGCGUUAUCCGGAUUCAUUGGGUUUAAAGGGUGCGUAGGCGGCUUUUUAAGUCAGUGGUGAAAUCCUGCCGCUUAACGGUAGAAUUGCCAUUGAUACUGAAGAGCUUGAGUACAGUUGAGGUAGGCGGAAUGUGUAGUGUAGCGGUGAAAUGCUUAGAUAUUACACAGAACACCGAUUGCGAAGGCAGCUUACUAAACUGUUACUGACGCUGAUGCACGAAAGCGUGGGGAGCGAACAGGAUUAGAUACCCUGGUAGUCCACGCCGUAAACGAUGCUCACUCGCUGUUUGCGAUACACAGCAAUCGGCCAUGCGAAAGCAUUAAGUGAGCCACCUGGGGAGUACGAUCGCAAGGUUGAAACUCAAAGGAAUUGACGGGGGCCCGCACAAGCGGAGGAACAUGUGGUUUAAUUCGAUGAUACGCGAGGAACCUUACCUGGGCUUAAAUGUAGAGCGACAGCUUGUGAAAGCAGGCUUUCUUCGGACGAUCUACAAGGUGCUGCAUGGUUGUCGUCAGCUCGUGCCGUGAGGUGUCGGGUUAAGUCCCAUAACGAGCGCAACCCUUAUCGUUAGUUGCCAGCGGGUCAAGCCGGGGACUCUAGCGAGACUGCCACCGUAAGGUGUGAGGAAGGUGGGGAUGACGUCAAAUCAGCACGGCCCUUAUGUCCAGGGCUACACACGUGUUACAAUGGCCGAUACAAAGGGCAGCUACCAGGUGACUGGAUGCUAAUCUCUAAAGUCGGUCUCAGUUCGGAUCGAAGUCUGCAACCCGACUUCGUGAAGCUGGAUUCGCUAGUAAUCGCGCAUCAGCCAUGGCGCGGUGAAUACGUUCCCGGGCCUUGUACACACCGCCCGUCAAGCCAUGGAAGCCG
rnacentral:rRNA from 1 species